GGGGCCGCUGCGCGUACGCUGCUCAGAAAACCCGCCGCCAGUGCCAGCGGGAAAGACACGACGAGCUGGUCGCCGCGGCUAUAAAUAGGGCCGGGCGCCUCGGCCUCCGGGGUGGCGGGGGCCGGUAGGGGGUGGGGCAUCACCGGCACCGCCCACUUAACCCCUCCGGGCCCGGCGCCGCCGCCCUCCCUGCCGCCCGGCUGAGCGCGCUGACUCGCGUCCCCUCGCGUGCUCUCGCCCCCGCGCUCCAGGCUGAGUCACCGCCGCCCGCGCCUGUUCCCUCUCUCCGCCCUUCCGGGGCUUCCUGCGGCCUCCCGCCGACGCCCGAGCCGGGGACACCGGGUGACAAGGGUCCUCUCCGAGGGGCGGCCCUGCCGUGCGCUGGGAUCGGGGGCCUCCAGGGCCUGCUCACCACCCACUCGGGCCCGGCUGCUGAACAAAACCCGGUGGUGGCGGAGGAAGCCACCCUUUUCGCGCCAGACUUCCCAACUGCUCCCGGGCGACUCGAUGAAACCUGAGUUUCUGUUAUUGGAUAGCACCCCCCAUGCCCCGUGGGCUUGGCAAAGACAUUCCAGACAGCAGCCUCAUUCCGCCCGCCCACGUGUGUCCCAGGGCAGGCCAGGCACACCAGGAGUUGCUGUCAUUUCUUGGUUCCAGCUCAGUCGGCACAGCCUUUGGAGAAGACAUCUUGGUUUUCUUCCAUCUCUGAGAUGCAAACUGUAGGCUUUCUCUUCUACUUGUGAAUCUCUCAUCAUCUUGCCGUGAGAAGGUAUCUAGUCUAAAUGUCAGCAUGGGAAGCACAGGCCUAAGUCAGAAAACAUUCAGGUACCCAGGCGGGCUGCCUGUUGCCCAUAGAUGGACUGUUCACACAGCUAUUAACGGCAGCAGCAGCAUUCCUGGGCCCAGGAGCCCGGCCAAUAAGCUUACUCGCUCAGGCUUUGUGACAAGAAAGUCUAAGUAGCCAGGAAGUGGGAUGUUUCUAGGGAAAAGUACUACAGUCCCUCUGGGUCAGAACUCAUCCACCUGGUAUAAAUCAAGUCUUUUAAAUCAAUAAUGUUUCUGUAGUUAAGAACCGAGUCCAAUUUUAUGUAUUCCUAACAACAGGGGGUUAUUUAACUCAUGUUUCAGCCUUACUCUGAAGAAUAGUGAUGCAAUAUUCAUUGAAAUGGAAAGAUGUUCAUGUUAUAAUGUCCAGCAAACAAUCUGAUUACCCAUAGUAUGACCCCAUUUGUUAAUUAAUUUAUUUAUUUUUAUUUUGGCCACGCGGUGCAUGCAGGAUCUUAGCACGCGGGAUCUUAGUUUCCUGACCAGGGAUCGAACCCGUGCCCCAUUUGUUGUAUGUGUUCGUAUGCCUACCAAAAAACUGUGAAGGUAACAUUUUCUCUAGGUGGCUAGGUUUGUUUUGCUGUUUUUGCGUGCCUGCAUUUUCUGUCUUUCUGUACUAAACAUAUAUAACCUGUGUAUUAAAGAAAUAUUAAAAGUUCAAAAUAAAAUUAAAAGUUCAGUUCUUGAGGAAAAAAAGUAUAUUAUUAAUAGCCCAGACCUAACAGGAGAUUAUUUGAAGCCAUGUGUAUAUAUCUAAGUCAAUAAAGGAAUGUGGUUAGAAAAGAAAGGAACAGAUUUAGACUUAUCAGCUGUGUUUGGAAUUUUGAAUAACCUGCUAACCCAAGCAUGCUAUUAAGUUCCCUGUUUUUUUUUCUUGCUCAUUAAUCUCAUGCAUUCAAAAUGGGAAUGUGAGAAAUUCAUUCACUGCAGUAUGACAAUGUGAUGGAUACAGUCAGCAAACUGUAUUAACUAAGGGGAUUUAAACUUCUCAAAUAUCAUCCAAUACCCUGGCAUGGUGGAAACACCAUUGUUUGGUGAGGAAGGUGUUAACUCUAGCCAAAAAGCAAUAGUUUGUGAGAAAAUGGAUUUAAAGACUAAACUUCAGCCACGAGAGUUUUAGAAGUGUACCUCUUCUAAAAUCAUGAAAAUGGUCUUUGUCUACGUAACUUUAUGAUAAUGUAAUACAAUGUGAAUUAACAAAUAAUGGUACUGUUUCAUUAAAAAAAUGAA
ensembl:lncRNA